rnacentral:rRNA from 1 species
GGAGAAAAGCGGGGGGAUCGCAAGACCUCGCGCUAUUGGAGCGGCCGAUGUCAGAUUAGGUAGUUGGUGAGGUAAAGGCUCACCCAAGCCUUCGAUCUGUAGCUGGUCUGAGAGGACGACCAGCCACACUGGGACUGAGACACGGCCCAGACUCCUACGGGAGGCAGCAGUGGGGAAUUUUGGACAAUGGGCGCAAGCCUGAUCCAGCAAUGCCGCGUGCAGGAUGAAGGCCUUCGGGUUGUAAACUGCUUUUGUACGGAACGAAAAAGUCUGCCCUAAUACGGCGGGCCCAUGACGGUACCGUAAGAAUAAGCACCGGCUAACUACGUGCCAGCAGCCGCGGUAAUACGUAGGGUGCGAGCGUUAAUCGGAAUUACUGGGCGUAAAGCGUGCGCAGGCGGUUAUGUAAGACAGAUGUGAAAUCCCCGGGCUCAACCUGGGAAUUGCAUUAGUGACUGCAUAGCUAGAGUGCGGCAGAGGGGGAUGGAAUUCCGCGUGUAGCAGUGAAAUGCGUAGAUAUGCGGAGGAACACCGAUGGCGAA